UUUCGUAUUGCGCCCUCUAUGACUCUGAUCCCAAAACUAUUCUGACUCUAUAACAAUUAUUGAAUUUUAAUAUCAUCUGGUAACAAUUCACGCCGUUUCGACCCUAUAAAUUGGGACGAAAAACCGAAGUCAAACCAUUCAGUUUUUGGAGCUCGUGGGGACAGUUCAAUGAUUUAGUGUGGUAUAACCAUGGCGGGUGACUGGGGAUUCAUUGUGCCUUUUUUCACAUUUUAUUAUUAUAUAUACAAUAUUUAAUUAAAUCUAUUUUUAUCAUUAUGAUUUAGUUACUUACUUGCGUCCAACCGUUUUUCUGUUUUGUUUGUGCGGAAAAUUGAGUUCGAAACUAUUAUCGUUAAUCAUUUAUAGUUUUUUUUUAAUCGUUUAAAACGAAUUUUAAAGCCUAGUUUGCGCGUUUUUAAAACCUGUCGCCCUCCCCCCUCGGCAGGUUCGAGUAGUUCGCGAUUAAUUAUUAAAUUAAUUUUUGUUGGUCGGUGUGUGGUUGCUUGCAAAGUUUUUCCCAGAAGCGGAGCAACGCCAUACGCUUUAAUUCAUAAAUAAUACUAUAUGUACAUAUUAAGAGUGAUGUUAAUUUUUUUUUGAAUUAUUUUAUUAAUUACCUUACGUUAUAUGCGCAUUCAAACAUCUAGUUUGAAAUUUUGAAAUCCAGCUUGUUUCUCAAAUUACUUAUAUUUAUUUUAACGGAUUUUUUCUGCUUUUAUGUACUAUAAUUUAAUCAAAUAAAUUUAAAAUUCUCGUUAUUGCACAAUGGGUCUCCCGUGACGGAGAAAUGUUGAAGACGCAGUGCUUGAAAAGUAUUUGAAUUUUUUUAAAAAAAGUAUAUCGAUCAAUACCAAGACCAACUACUACAGAAGAAGCACGACCCAGGAGGGACUUGUGAUACCAGAGGAAUCAACGCCAGGACCAACUACUACAGGAGGAGCACAUUCCAGGAUAAUAUGCAUUCAUAUAUUAGUUUUUUCGUAUUACAUAUAAUUAGUCGUUAUCUAGACUUACAUUUAUAUAAGUAUAUAAUUUUUUAAUAUUAACAUUACCGGGGCCCCGUUUAUAUGCUCAUCCCUUUUAGGGAAAUUUGUGUUUUUUUUAAUCUCGUUUCAGGUGUAUUUUCAUGAAGAUUUCCAGAAGAUUUCCUCUUCAAGACAACCAGGAAGCCGCUACCAGAUUGGAGAUUAUGCGCAUAAAUGAAAUCAUAUGGAGCAAAGAUAAAAUAGGCAAACCAGGACCAACAGAAGACUGCUGACGGAUCAAGACCAACAGAAGAAAACUACCGAAUUGGUGAAUAUCAAGAUGAAUAUGAAGUGUGAGAAGACUUUAGUUAUAUUAUUCUAUUAUUAUUAAGUAAUUACUAUUAAGUAGUUAUAUUAUUUAUAAGGCGCGUUUUCGGUCGUACGUUUUUUAAAGUUGUUCGCGUAUUAUUAAUUCGCGUUUCCACGUUAAUAUCUUCAGUCAUACUUUUUUUGGGAUUGUUCGCGUAUUUUUGUUUGAGCUCAAAGGGUGGUGGCGUCGUGGAAGAACCUUUCAUUUUUUCCGCGUUUUUCUUUACAUCAAUUAAUUAAUAAUUGCGAAUCACAAAAUGAUUCGCCCAUAAGCUUCAUAGGCUGGGAAACUAUGAAGUUUUUUUCCAAGUAAUUGCAUGGUGUAUUUGGGGAGUACUUCUGUACUCUGGGGGGUACAUCAUGUGGAUGCUUUUUUUAUAAUAUCACAAUCACCGUUACAAAAUCACAUUACAAUUUUCAUAUUAAUAUUUCAUACAAUUUCAUAUUUAUAAAAACUACACACUACACACCGAGAGGUUCUUUCGCUUUUAAAAAUCGAAAUUUUUGGGUACAUUAGGUCAUCUCGCGGGGUUCGUUUCGCGUUACAUUCGGUACAAUUCGUUUAUUAGUUAAAUAUAAUUAGUCAAUAAGUUAGUUUAGGUGGAUUAG